GCCGCUAUGGUGAAAUUGGUAGACACGCUGCUCUUAGGAAGCAGUGCUAAUGCAUCUCGGUUCGAAUCCGAGUGGCGGCA
rnacentral:tRNA from 1 species